AGGAGGAACAGCCCCAGUGGCGGGGCAGCUCUGGAAACCUGGAUUCAGCUCUGGCAGUAACUCCGCCUGCAGGGCCUGGAGGCUCCGGGGCGGG
rnacentral:pre_miRNA from 1 species